rnacentral:lncRNA from 1 species
UAAAGUAGGAGAAAAAAAUUGAGCCUGAGUUACAUAGCAAAAUCUCAGUCUCUGUCUCUCUCGUUCUCUCAUUCUCUCUCUCUCUCUCUCUCUCUCUCUCUCUCUCUCUCUCUCUCUCUCACACACACACACACACACACACACAGAGGAGGGGGCUAAGGAUAUAGUUUACCAGCAUGAGAAACUGAGCUCAAGUCCCCUGUGGUGUGUGUGCAUGCAUGUGUGUGUGGGAGAGAGAAAUAUAUCCACCACAAUGACUGGUUCAGUAUGCAAAUAAAGAGCCCUACAGGGAUGAAGAAAUGGCUCAGUCAUUAAAGCGCUUGCUGCACCAUGUAAUAGAGCAGGCCCACGGCUGUAAUCCCCACACUGGGAAGGCAGUUACAGGCCUGGGCUCACUGGCCAGCUCAUUUAGCCUACUCAGUAAGUUUUAGGCCAGUGAGGACAGUCUGAAGAAAACAGUGUGGACAGCUCCCAGACAACCAGUGCAGGAGGUUGUCCCCUCACCCACUUGUAUCUACACACACAUACAGCUGCACCCACACUACACAUGCACACCCACACAGCCACACCCACACUACACAUGCACACACAUACAGCUGCACCCACACUACACACACACACAUGCACACAGCCACACCCACACUACACAUGCACACACAUACAGCCAUACCCACACUACACACACGCACAUGCACACAGCCACACCCACACUACACAUGCACACACAUACAGCUGCACCCACACUACACACACACACAUGCACACAGCCACACCCACACUACACAUGCACACACAUACAGCCGUACCCACACUACAUGUGUAAACACACACUACACCCACA